rnacentral:rRNA from 1 species
GGAGCAUGUGGUUUAAUUCGACGCAACGCGAAGAACCUUACCUACUCUUGACAUCUACAGAAUUUUGCAGAGAUGCGAAAGUGCCUUCGGGAACUGUAAGACAGGUGCUGCAUGGCUGUCGUCAGCUCGUGUUGUGAAAUGUUGGGUUAAGUCCCGCAACGAGCGCAACCCUUAUCCUUAGUUGCCAGCACGUAAUGGUGGGAACUCUAGGGAGACUGCCGGUGAUAAACCGGAGGAAGGUGGGGACGACGUCAAGUCAUCAUGGCCCUUACGAGUAGGGCUACACACGUGCUACAAUGGUAUGUACAGAGGGAGGCAAGCUGGCGACAGUGAGCGGAUCUCUUAAAGCAUAUCGUAGUCCGGAUCGCAGUCUGCAACUCGACUGCNNNNAGUAGGAANCGC